ensembl:lncRNA
GGGAGGGAGGGAGGGAGGGAGGGAAGGAGGGAGGGAGGGAGGGAGGGAGGGAGGGAAGGAGGGAGGGAGGGUUGAUGUAGCUGUACACUGUACCGCUUCAGCUACAAACAGCUUCUUGCUUCUUUUGUAAACCACAUCCAUUGUAGCGUUGAAGCUUCAUCAUGAUCUCUUGCAGAUGUGAGGAUGCAGUGUGCAGAGGCUUCCGCAGGAUAGUGCUCAGAUGUUGGUGGUCUGUCUCUACCACCACUGCUCGCCCGUAUAUGAAAUCAUGAAACUUCUGACAGGCGAAAACAAGGGUCAACAUCUCUUUCCCUAUCUGAGUGAAACACAGGCGAAAACAAGGGUCAACAUCUCUUUCUCUAUCUGAGCGUAACACAGGUGAAAACAAGGUUCAACAUCUCUUUCUCUAUCUGAGCAUAACACAGGUGAAAACAAGGUUCAACAUCUCUUUCUCUAUCUGAGCAUAACACAGGUGAAAACAAGGUUCAACAUCUCUUUCUCUAUCUGAGCAUAACUGUCUCAGUCUCUGUCUGUGCUCUUGAUGCAAACACCACUGACCUACAUGAACUCUGUAUCUGUACCCCCUGUAUAUAGUCUCCACAUUGACUCUGUAUCUGUACCCCCUGUAUAUAGUCUCGCUAUUGUUAUUUCAAUGCUGCUCUUAAAUUACUCGUUACUUUUAUCUCUUAUUCUUAUCUGUAUUUUUUAAAACUGCAUUGUUGGUUAGGGGCUUGUAAGUAACCAUUUCACUGUAAGGUCUACACCAGUUGUAUUCUGCGCAUGUGACUAAUACAAUAUGAUUUGAUUUGUUAUAAACAUACUGCUCCAAGACCAUGCUGGGAUGCAUCUGCAGAUAGGACCACUGGUUUGCCCACUACAGCCCACAUCAUAGUACUGGAGCACUGCUGUGCUGGACAGCAGUUCUUUCAGUUUGGUGAAGGCAGGGUCAUGUUGCUCCUACCAGCACCAUUCAGUGUCCUGAUGGAGGAGCUGGCGGAGGGGCCCGUCACCUGUGGCUGCAGGGCCUGCUUCUCUUCUGCCUGAUGGCCUCUGUCUUAUUUCUGGGUCAGGUUUCACCUCGUCGGCUAUGAGGUGGUGACC